rnacentral:pre_miRNA from 1 species
GGCUGGCACCCUGUGGAAGACUAGUGAUUUUGUUGUUGUAUGGCUCAUCCCACAACAAGUCACAGUCUGCCCUAGGGCGCACGGCC